CAGACUACACUCUCAGGGAUUGUUUCUAUAGUGGUCACCUGGAGAAGCACAUCUGCAUAUGCCUGAUCUGCUCAGCCACAAUGAUGAUCUUCCCACCUGAUCUUCUCAGCCACAAUGUAGGGUCCUCUCCUGAGAGUGAGCAGGUGGCCGGCACUGCCUCCAGGUAGUUUCUGCUGCACACUCUUGAUUACUGUUUCGCUUUCCCUUGCUGGGAGCUUGGCGGGAGGGAGCACAGUGUGAGUGGG